CCCCCAGAGCCUUCCCCAGCAGCCGCGGUCCCAGAGACAAGACGCGCACCUUCACAUCGCGAUAGCAGUGGUUGACCAUGCGCAAGUGAACGUUCACCUUGGUCUCGAUGCGGAUCAGACACUUGACCAUGGUUGAAGGUUGAGAGCAGCAGUCGGACUGACAGACUGAUGGAAAAGACAAGGCCCAGGAAUGUGGUCCACUCCACCCCCCACUUCUCGUGUUGACUAUGACACACUCAGCUCAGCCCUCUCACGACGCUGCACUGAUCCACCUGUCGAUUUCCUGCUCCUUUCUUCCCUCACUUGUGAACAAGACCCUGAGAUCCUUGAACUCCUUCCCUUGGGGCAGUAUCUCAUUCCUGACGUGGAGAGGGCAUGCCACCCUUUCCAACUGAGUAGCAUGGUCUCAGAUUAAGAGGCGUCCUUGUGCACCCACUACUGUACAAGAGUGCUGGUUUGCUGUGUGUCCAGUUCAGUGAUGUUGUCUGUAACCUGAUGCAUCAUCCAUAAAGGUUGACAAGCGAAGGCGCGGUGUGAUGACAAGGUUAAAGUUAACAUCAGGGAUAUACGCAGCCAAGAGAGCAGCGUCCGAGGUCUUGCACAGCAGGCGGCCAUGGUAGAGGUCCCUCUUCACCUGCAGGAAGACCAGAUAUCUGCAGCAUGGAAGAAGACAGGCUUUUAUUGGUGUUAGUGAAGUCAAUCCAAGUGGGGGAGCUGCUUUCCCUUGUUGGCUCCGUCAAGGAAGAACCGGCCUGUGCUUGCUUUCCCCCCCACACUCCUGACUCCAAUUCAGCAAGUCCAAGUUUAAUAUAUCAUCAACAUAAAUACACAGAAGAAUCACAAGGGACCCACUUUGGUAUUCAUCUCACAUGAGCAGUGAUUAACCACCCACUCAGGACCUUUAAUACUGCACACACACAACAAACACUUGGAAACAUUGCUUGUUCAAUAGUGAUUCCUGUUUGUGCUGACAUAAGGAAUUCACUGGUCCAAAGGAAACUAAUAAUACGGAAAGAACACUGCAACUGUUUCGACAUUGCGAUCAGAUCGGAAGAAUGGCUUUCUAACUUAUUGUACAUGAGUACAGGGUGACUUUUAAUAUAGCAUCAAUCUGCCUUUGCGCUUUUUGUACUCAGGAUGCUAUCUUGCUACAGUCAUGCUCAAAAACAUAAUGACUGUCUGAUUGUCUAUCUGGUCAGAUUUCAUGUCUGACAGUCAGAGGGAAAAAAACAAAAAAUAUGCAUUCAUGGCUAAAAUCUUUAUUUUAAUAUUAUGUGUUUUUUUUUUAGCAUGACUGUAUAUGUAUAUGUAUAUGCGUGAUUCUCAAAGUGUGAUACCAGUACCACGAGUGCUGCUACGAGUUCCGUUAUAUUUACCUUUUAAGUUCAAUACAUUUGCAUUUAAUCGUUAAGAACUUGGUUUUGAAACAUUUACUUAGGUACAAAUUCUAUUUAACUUUUCUGUGCAAUGCAUUUUAAAUAAAUCCUAUUUCAAUACAAUUUAAAAUAAUAAUAAUAAAAAUUAAAAAAAAACAUUUUCCUGUAUGUUAUUGCAGUGCUAUUGUUCAAACUGUGCAUAACGUUACAGUGGCUUACACAAAUAUGAAAUAGCAUUUUUAGGAAUACAGCUUCCGCCUCAUUUUUGAUGAACAUUUGGAACUACUAUGCUACUGUAUUUGAAUGUUGGUCAUUAUUUUUCUUUGCCAAAUCUUCAGUUUUCCAGUUACUUACCCCGACAUGAGGCUGGUCUAUCGCUAGUGACAAGACCUCGCGCAAACCAACUCGACUAACGGGACGAAAGUCUCAUUUCAUCUCGUCAAUAUAUUCAGCCUGCAGGAUCCCAUUAGUGGAACAAUCCUUGAGCCUGCACUCACUCAGGGUUCAAAUAAGAGAAAGUCAUAACAUCUUACCCCAAAAAAAUCUGUUAUGUUGUCUGUCUGUAAAGCUUUGUUCAAUCUAUCGUACAUUGAUUUAUCCCACAGGCGAAUAAACUUGAUUCAUAGUCAUUUCUCCGCCGCCUCAGGGAUAUUUUAUGCGCAACACAGGUCAGUGUUAUUUGAAUGGCAUUUCAAUUUUGUGUGUUAAUAACAGUAUACUUGAGAUCUGACAAUUCUUCUAUUUCAAUGUAAAUUGCUUGGGGACUUUUAAUGUAAAUAUUAGUAUCAUUAACAAUUGGAAGAUGCUACAUGAUGAGGAUACAAUUUGGUCUUUAAAACCACAUGAUAAUAAUUACCAGUUAUUAAGUUUUUUUCUUCUUUUUUUUUUUAGUAAACUUCAUUAAAAAUCAAUGACUAAAACUGUGAGCCUGUUUUUGAAAAUGAAGUUUAACAAUAAAAAAAAGUAAUAAUGCUGGUUUUUGGCGUCUUACAAAAUUACAUUUUGAUUCUUUAGUUUGAUGCCAACAGUGAAACUGGAGUACAGACAUACCACUAACGGGCCUAAUAUGAGCCUGAUUCCAUCCUUCUAAUUAAAGUCGGCAAAGGCCUGAUUAUCGGAUGUCUCUAAGGCCCACUGCACACCGAGCGAACCUGUGUUGCCUGGGUAUGAAUACGGAAGUUUCUGCGACUCUGAUUACUGGGCCGUGGCAAAGACUCCAAGUGCACUUGUGCGGUGUCAUUACAAAAAUGCAAAAAUGCAAUUUUAAUCUUCAUAGGUGAGGUGGGGCCGUCUCGUCCAGUAGCGCCAGAAGGCGAACAGCAGCCAGUGACGUUAAUAACGUUGCUGCAACAUUCAAACACAGUGGCGGAGAUAAUUAGUUGCAGAGAUUCACCGAGCCCCUGAGACCACGACCGCGAGUCCUUUUUUUUCGUGUCACACAACACGCUGCUCACACACAACCUCACCGGUGAAAAGACAGGGCCUUUUAUUCAACAUACUUUGAAGCAUGGCAAACUGGAAAUAUGGCCAAAUUGGAGCUUUUUCCCUCCUUUGCUAUCAAAGUCUGCAAAACCUGAUUCGGGGGUGUCUCUAAAAAGAUUAUCCGGAGUGGUUCUCCUGUGGUGUGGGGUGUGUUGAGAGUGAUUUUUGUCUUUCGUCUCCUUUUUUUUCGGCAGUCUUGAUGCCCUGUGGCACCAUGCUGCCUCUCACAGGUCAAUCUUUGUACUACUUCAGUUAUCCGGUUUGUGGGAGAAUAAUGGCAAUUUUCGGUCGAAAUAUCAUUAUGUAUUUGGUGUGCUGUGUUGGUCAUCACACCAUAAGAUCAGUGAGAACAAAGUGAAUUUUGUUGAAAAAUUGGUUAAGAUGCCAACGUUAGCGCUGUUGAAUGAAAAUCUUUUGAAUGAAAUCGAUAGCGUACGAUGAAAGUGUUUCAGUGACAAGCAAAGUCACAAUUUACACACUGCAAAUUAUUUCUUGAUCACCAAGCAGGUACACCUACACUUGGCAAAAGGCUUUUUGAUUCAUGUUUGUUGUAGUA